CCCACAGACAGGAUAGUACAUAUCACGGCCUUUGUUACACCAGUUGUGGAGCACUGGCUGGAACGAGAAAUAGCACAAGGGCCCGCCGACGGGGAUCGAUCCUUGUUGGCCAACAGUGACUGUGUCAUCAAUUAUAUAUAUGCAAAUGAUAAUUUUAAGCAGAGGCAAUGUACUUGAACACUGUAUUGCACUCAGGGUUUUAACACUGGCGUAGCCAUAAUUUUAUAUUGGGGGGGGGGGGGGGGGGGGGGGAGUAACCCACACUAUGUAUGUAUGAUUUUGUAACCGGGUAUUUUAAACUACAUUCAGUACACACAUACUAUUUUAAAAUACUGUUCACAUUGUUUUAUUCUGUCAGGUUAUACUUGUGCAGGCUUUCUUUGUUUUCUUGCUUUCUCUGGUUUUCUGGGCUUGGGUUGUGUGCACUGAUAACUCAGAUCUGGCAAGCCCAGUUUCAUUGUUUCUGCGUUCUCUUGGUCAGAAGCUUUGUGACUUGCAAAGAGAAAAGAUCACUUUUAUGAGAAGACAAGCUUUUAUUCACAGCAACUGCACAACUAACUUCCACGAAGAAUAUUAAAGAUGCCACCAUUAUAUAAGAGUGCAACCAGCAUUAUGCUUGUGUGAAGACCCGAUCCACAGUCGAUGCCACCAUUAUAUAAGAGUGCAACCAGCAUUAUGCUUGUGUGAAGACCCGAUCCACAGUCGGGUCUUUGUUUAUCUGAUUUGUUUUUGAUAGUUAUGCUUGUAGCCAAGGAUCUUAAUAUCCCACCCGAUGAAUGAUCCGAAUAAACCCUAAACCUCUCCCGAGUUGUUCGUGUUUCCCUCAUACAAUACUUCAGUAACAUUGGAGCCGACGUAGGGACUGGGUGUGUACAGGACAGGAAUACUACUAUAACCCAGUUAGGACCAGCAACAGUUCAACUGUUCGUGGCCAACAGCUCCGGAACGCAGCUUCACUUGAGUGGGGGAGUACGUGUAGUUAUGUAACCAUGUGGAUUUUAUUGCUUUAAUGAUUUUAGUAUGCACAAAACACAUGCACCAAAACUUUGACUAGGAGCUGUAGGAACAUGCAUUUAUCUGUCUAAACAUAUGACCUCUGACCAGGGACAGUGAUAAUCAACCAAUAGAUUGGCCAGCUGUGUUUGACCCAUUUGGUGGCUAUUCAUUGUCACUCGCCUAACAUUCUUUCACAUGUCACGAUCUGCACAGGCUACGCACUCUUGAUCUGCCUUCAAACUAUUCUGGGAUAAUUGGGGUCCAACCUAAACCGUAUGACACAUUCUUGAACUUCGUAUACCACAACCAAUAUGGCGGAUAAAGCUCGCUUCGCUACACGACGAACAGUUUGUGAAGACUGCGGCCAACAAUACUGUGGAAGGUCUGCUGACCGCAGACAUGUGGUUGUCCAUCACGGCAGACUAGGCGGGCACCAGUGCACUGACUGUGGACGAGUGUUUUCAAUUAGGAGUCAUCUCCAAGGACACCACGUUUCCAGAUUCAUUGGAAUGAAUUGUUUAGUUUUUAUAUAUUGUUUAAUAAAUCGACAUUAUAAUGCA
rnacentral:misc_RNA from 1 species